rnacentral:miRNA from 1 species
CCUCCUCCUCCUCUUCCUCUUCCUCCUCCUCCUCCAUCUCUUCCUCCUCCUCCUUCUCUUCUUCAUCGCAGGCUUCCUGGGGCGCCCGGGGGGCUGGCUCGGGC